AACGAACGCUGGCGGCAUGCCUAACACAUGCAAGUCGAACGAGACCUUCGGGUCUAUUGGCGCACGGGUGCUUAACGCGUGGGAACCUGCCCUUAGGUUCGGAAUAACUCCCCGAAAGGUGUGCUAAUACCGGAUAAUGUCUUCGGACCAAAGAUUUAUCGCCUUUGGAUGGGCCCGCGUUGGAUUAGCUAGUUGGUAGGGUAAAAGCCUACCAAUGCGACGAUCCAUAGCUGGUCUGAGAGGAUGAUCCGCCACACUGGGACUGAGACACGGCCCAGACUCCUACGGGAGGCAGCAGUGGGGAAUAUUGGACAAUGGGGGAAAGCCUGAUCCAGCAAUGCCGCGUGAGUGAUGAAGGCCUUAGGGUUGUAAAGCUCUUUUACCCGGGAUGAUAAUGACAGUACCGGGAGAAUAAGCUCCGGCUAACUACGUG
rnacentral:rRNA from 1 species